UGCAAGUCGAGGGGUAGAGGAGAGUAGUUUACUAUGAUUCUUGAGACCGGCGCACGGGUGCGUAACACGUAUGCAACUUACCCUCUACUGGGGCAUAGCUCAGAGAAAUCUGAAUUAAUUCCCCAUAAUGAUAUUGAAUCGCAUGAUUUGAUAUUUAAAGUUCCGGCGGUAGAGGAUAGGCAUGCGUUGUAUUAGCUAGUUGGUGAGGUAAUGGCUCACCAAGGCUACGAUACAUAGGGGUUCUGAGAGGAUGAUCCCCCACACUGGUACUGAGACACGGACCAGACUCCUACGGGAGGCAGCAGUAGGGAAUAUUGGUCAAUGGACGCAAGUCUGAACCAGCCAUGCCGCGUGCAGGAAGACGGCCCUCUGGGUUGUAAACUGCUUUUAUAAGGGAAGAAACCCCUGGAUGCGUCCGGGGCUGACGGUACCUUAUGAAUAAGGAUCGGCUAACUUCGUGCCAGCAGCCGCGGUAAGACGAAGGAUCCAAGCGUUGUCCGGAUUUACUGGGUUUAAAGGGUGCGUAGGCGGAUGCUUAAGCCAGUGGUGAAAUCUCUCAGCUUAACUGAGAAACUGCCAUUGGAACUGGGUAUCUUGAAUUCGAUUGAGGUAGAUGGAAUAUAACAUGUAGCGGUGAAAUGCUUAGAUAUGUUAUGGAACACCGAUUGCGAACGCAGUCUACUAAGUCGACAUUGACGCU
rnacentral:rRNA from 1 species